rnacentral:rRNA from 1 species
AGCGAACGCUGGCGGCAGGCUUAACACAUGCAAGUCGAACGGGCACUUCGGUGCCAGUGGCAGACGGGUGAGUAACACGUGGGAACGUACCUUUUGGUUCGGAACAACUGAGGGAAACUUCAGCUAAUACCGGAUAAGCCCUUACGGGGAAAGAUUUAUCGCCGAAAGAUCGGCCCGCGUCUGAUUGGCUAUUUGGUAGGGUAAUGGCCUACCAAGGCGACGAUCAGUAGCUGGUCUGAGAGAAUGAUCAGCCACAUUGGGACUGAGACACGGCCCAACCACCUACGGGAGGAAGCAGAGGGGAAUAUUGGACAAUAGGGGCAACCCUAAUCGAGCCAUGCCGCGUGAGUGAUGAAGGCCCUAGGGUUGUAAAGCUCUUUUGUGCGGGAAGAUAACGACGGUACCGCAAGAAUAAGCCCCGGCCAACUUCGUGCCAGCCGCCGCCGUAA